rnacentral:rRNA from 1 species
AUGGAGGCUCCACAGUCUCGGCCUUGGUCAGAUCUUCAGUCGGAACUCCUGGGCCUUAUCCUCAAGCGCCUCCCCGUCCUGGCUGAUCGUGUUCGUCUGAGAGCAGUAUGUCAACCAUGGCGCUCUAAUAGUUUGGAGCAGCACCUUCCCCUCCCAUUCCCAUGGCUCACUCUCCCCGAUGGCACCUUCCUCAACAUUCCUGGUGGUGAAAUUCACCGCAUGCCUAUACCAGAAGGCGCUUGUUGCCAAGGCUCCAUUGACAACUGGCUAUUUCUCACGCACAAUGAUGAUGUAUGCUCAUUGAUGAACCCUUUCUCCAAUACCACGCUGGAGCUUCCUAAGCUAGCCAGAGAAUGGAAGCGUGUGAUAGGUCCCUGCUCCAGAUUUAAGCCAAUUUUCUAUAAGUUGGUGGUGCCCUCACCGCUGGACUCAUCACCCAAUUCCUUGGUUGCUGCGCUAAUCAUGGAUGAUUCUAAUUGCCGCACACUUUGCAUUAGCCAGCCCCCAAUCGCCACUGACUCACUCAGAGGUGACAGGUAUCCAAUAACUAGACUUUCAGAUAUUGCAUUCUUUGAUGGAAAGUUGUACGCGUUGAGCGGAGUUGGCCAGCUUUUGAUAUUUGAGCUGGACGAUGACCUUGUUAUUUCAUCCUUCGAGAGCAUAAUUGACUCUUUGGGUGAUUUAAGUUUAGUUCCUCAACCCUUGGCCCCAGGGGAUCCAUUUACUAUAAGGGAGUAUCUAGUUGAAUGUGGUGGUAGACUGUUGAUGGUGACACGAUGGAUUCACCGGGUGAACAUUUCUGCAAGUGACGAUGGCUUUGAAGAUAAACGCACGGCUGCACUUGAGGUCUUUGAGGCAGAUUUGCAGAGCAGCCCCCGUCGUCGAUGGAGAAGGGUCCAUGAUUUGGGUGGCCAUGCACUCUUUCUUGGCCAACAUGGCUCCAAGUCCCUGCCCCCUGCAGAAUGCAGUGAAUACCAAGAGGAUUGCAUCUACUUCAUGUGUGACUAUCCCUUGCCGAGCUCUUCUGCAAAUCCUCUUCGCGACUCCGGUGUAUACAACGUCAGGAAUGGGAUGAUCACACCAUUGAUGUCAGAGACAGCAGCUGUGCCGCUAGAGCGUGUUGGGCAGUGGCGUCCGGCAUGGGUUUUCCCUUCGGCAGCUAUGUGA